AGUAACACGUGGAUAACCUACCUAUAAGACUGGGAUAACUUCGGGAAACCGGAGCUAAUACCGGAUAAUAUUUUGAACCGCAUGGUUCAAAAGUGAAAGACGGUCUUGCUGUCACUUAUAGAUGGAUCCGCGCUGCAUUAGCUAGUUGGUAAGGUAACGGCUUACCAAUGCAACGAUGCAUAGCCGACCUGAGAGGGUGAUCGGCCACACUGGAACUGAGACACGGUCCAG
rnacentral:rRNA from 1 species